rnacentral:rRNA from 1 species
UAGCUGGUCUGAGAGGAUGAUCAGCCUCACUGGGACUGAGACACGGCCCAGACUCCUACGGGAGGCAGCAGUGGGGAAUAUUGGACAAUGGGCGCAAGCCUGAUCCAGCCAUGCCGCGUGGGUGAUGAAGGCCCUAGGGUUGUAAAGCCCUUUCGGCGGGGAAGAUAAUGACGGUACCCGCAGAAGAAGCCCCGGCUAACUUCGUGCCAGCAGCCGCGGUAAUACGAAGGGGGCUAGCGUUGCUCGGAAUCACUGGGCGUAAAGCGCACGUAGGCGGCUUUUUAAGUCAGGGGUGAAAUCCUGGAGCUCAACUCCAGAACUGCCCUUGAUACUGAGAAGCUUGAGUCCGGGAGAGGUGAGUGGAACUGCGAGUGUAGAGGUGAAAUUCGUAGAUAUUCGCAAGAACACCAGUGGCGAAGGCGGCUCACUGGCCCGGUACUGACGCUGAGGUGCGAAAGCGUGGGGGGCAAACAGGAUUAGAUACCCUGGUAGUCCACGCCGUAAACGAUGGAUGCUAGCCGUUGGCAGGCUCGCCUGUCAGUGGCGCAGCUAACGCAUUAAGCAUCCCGCCUGGGGAGUACGGUCGCAAGAUUAAAACUCAAAGGAAUUGACGGGGGCCCGCACAAGCGGUGGAGCAUGUGGUUCAAUUCGAAGCAACGCGCAGAACCUUACCAGCCUUUGACAUCCCGGUCGCGGACAUCAGAGAUGAAGUCCUUCAGUUCGGCUGGACCGGUGACAGGUGCUGCAUGGCUGUCGUCAGCUCGUGUCGUGAGAUGUUGGUUAAGUCCCGCAACGAGCGCAACCCUCGCCCUUAGUUGCCAUCAUUCAGUUGGGCACUCUAAGGGGACUGCCGGUGAUAAGCCGCGUGGAAGGUGGGGAUGACGUCAAGUCCUCAUGGCCCUUACAGGCUGGGCUACACACGUGCUACAAUGGCGGUGACAAUGGGAUGCAAUGGAGCAAUCCUGCGCAAAUCUCAAAAAGCCGUCUCAGUUCGGAUUGGGGUCUGCAACUCGACCCCAUGAAGUUGGAAUCGCUAGUAAUCGCAGAUCAGCACGCUGCGGUGAAUACGUUCCCGGGCCUUGUACACACCCCCGUCACACCAUGGGAGUUGGCUUUACCUGAAGACGGUGCGCUAACCGCAAGGAGGCAGCCGGCCACGGUAGGGUCAGCGACUGGGGUCAAGUCGGAACAAGGUAGCCGUAGGGGAACCUGCGGCUG